rnacentral:rRNA from 1 species
UACGUAGGUGGCCAGCGUUGUCCGGAUUUAUUGGGGUUAAAGGGUGCGUAGGCUGCCUUGUAAGUCAGUGCUGAAAUAUCCCGGCUUAACCGGGAGGGUGGCAUUGAUACUGCAGGGCUUGAGUAAAGUUGAGGUUGGCGGAAUUGACGGUGUAGCGGUGAAAUGCUUAGAUAUCGUCAAGAACACCGAUAGUGAAGACAGCUAACUAAGCUUUAACUGACGCUGAGGCACGAAAGUGUGGGGAUCAAACAGG